rnacentral:rRNA from 1 species
GAGUGGUGAUCGUGAUUAUUGGGUCUAAAGGGUCCGUAGCCGGUUUGGUCAGUCCUCCGGGAAAUCUGAUAGCUCAACUAUUAGGCUUUCGGGGGAUACUGCCAGACUUGGAACCGGGAGAGGUAAGAGGUACUACAGGGGUAGGAGUGAAAUCUUGUAAUCCCUGUGGGACCACCUGUGGCGAAGGCGUCUUACCAGAACGGGUUCGACGGUGAGGGACGAAAGCUGGGGGCACGAACCGGAUUAGAUACCCGGGUAGUCCCAGCCGUAAACGAUGCUCGCUAGGUGUCAGGCAUGGCGCGACCGUGUCUGGUGCCGCAGGGAAGCCGUGAAGCGAGCCACCUGGGAAGUACGGCCGCAAGGCUGAAACUUAAAGGAAUUGGCGGGGGAGCACAACAACGGGUGGAAGCCUGCGGUUUAAUUGGACUCAACGCCGGACAACUCACCGGGGGCGACAGCAAUAUGUAGGCCAAGCUGAAGACUUUGCCUGAAUCGCUGAGAGAAGAGGUGCAUGG